CUUACAGAUGGGCCCGCGGUGCAUUAGCUAGUUGGUAGGGUAAUGGCCUACCAAGGCAACGAUGCAUAGCCGACCUGAGAGGGUGAUCGGCCACACUGGGACUGAGACACGGCCCAGACUCCUACGGGAGGCAGCAGUAGGGAAUCUUCCGCAAUGGACGAAAGUCUGACGGAGCAACGCCGCGUGUAUGAAGAAGGUUUUCGGAUCGUAAAGUACUGUUGUUAGAGAAGAACAAGGAUAAGAGUAACUGCUUGUCCCUUGACGGUAUCUAACCAGAAAGCCACGGCUAACUACGUGCCAGCAGCCGCGGUAAUACGUAGGUGGCAAGCGUUGUCC
rnacentral:rRNA from 1 species